GUUACAUAACUAUAAUCUCAUGGUAAUAGCCUUGUACUGUGUUUCCCUGAAAAUAAGACAUCCCCAUAAAAUAAGACCUAGUACAGGUUUGGGGGAAUUGCCAAAUAUAAGACCUCCCCCGAAAAUAAGACCUAGGAGGGAGCCGCCGCCGCCGCCGCCGGGGCUCCUUUCUCCUUCCUCGGCUGGUGCUGUGUGAAAGCGUCGCUCAUGCUUUCCCCUCUCCCUUCCCUUGCUUCCCUCUUUGGUCAGCACUCGCUCAAGAGGGGGAAGGAAAAAGCGAGAGAAGCAGUUUUUCCUUAAGCUUCCUGUCCGGUGUUGUGUGAAUGUGAAAGAUACGAGGCUGCUUGAGAUUGUCCCUUCCCCCUUUGGCCGGCACUCGCUCAAGAGGGGGAAGGAAAAAGCGAGAGAAGCAGUUUUUCCUUAAGCUACCUGUCCGGUGUUGUGUGAAUGUGAAAGAGACGAGGCUGCUUGAGAUUGUCCCUUCCCUCUUUGGCCAGCAAUCGCUCAAGAGAGGGAAGGAAAAAGCGAGAGAAGCAGCUUCUCCUUAAGCUGUGUGCAUGAGAUCCUUUUCUCCUGCCUUUCUCUUUCCCUUUCGCCAGGCAUGCACUCUUCCUGCCUUCUCAUUUUCCCACCUCCUCACCUUCCACGUGGCUGCCUUUCCUGCCUCCUUCCUCACUGGAUGUGUGCCAGAUAGUGUUUGAGAACCAGUGUCACCUUUGCCUUUCCUCGGAAGAGGUUCCAGUUUCCAACUCCUUGCCUUGUCUCCUGAAUCCGUGCUGAGUUCCCAGUUCCAGGCGAGCUGUGUCAAGCCGCGUCUCCUGAGUAGACCUUGCAUUAUUACCGCGUCUUCCUUGUUCCUGAAUCAAGAUUGACUCUGCCUGGUUACCCUUGCUUCCUUGCUCUUGCUACGGGACUUUCCAAGUGGAUUUGCAGUGCUUUGUUCCUGCUAUUGUUUCAUGGACAAAUUUUGAUUUUUUAAAGGAAGCUAUCGAGCUUCACUUAUGGAUUACAAUUUGGACAUUGCUGAACUCUUUCUGAAUUGCAAUUGACUAUAUAUUAUGGACUAUUUCUUACUCUGACUUUCUACCUUAAAUGCGCAUAGACAUAUAUAUACAGCUUGUGUGUUAUAUUGGUUCCUGCCUGGUUGCCGGGUGCUCACACUGCCUUGGGGUGCAACAAUUUCCAGGGCGGCUCCAUGGCUGGAGUGCUGCUGCCACUGAAAAAAUGGUGAUGGCAGACAAUGACAGGCUCCCUGUCUUUCCAUAAGGAAAGAUGGGUCAAGCUGCCACAAAAGGGCUUCCCUCUCUCCAUGUGAUGAGGAAGGGGAGAAGCUGCAAUGGAACUGGGCAUGGGGAAGCGGGAGGAAGUGAUCCAGGACUCCUUCAGUAGCACAUGUGACAAGGUCAUAAAAAACCUCUCCUGAGAGUUUCUGUGUCUAUCUUGCUGUCUACGAAAGAUUGAAAAAAAAAAGCAAUUACUCCAUGGCUAAUUUUUUACAGGCACAUUUCUUGGAGGCCAUUCCACUCAACUUUCAGCCAUAGCUUGCCUAGAACUUGGAAAUGGAAGUUACUUCCAGUUGUGACUUCUACAUGCUAUGGGCUCAUUUGGAACCUGGGGUGCAGGCUGGGAGGACAGUUUAAUUAGCUGCUGCCAAUUCAGCUAUUUUUGUCAUUUGGAAUUAAUUUUUCAAUAGAUUUUAGUGGAGAGUGGACAGGGAUUAAAGUUGGAGGAUGCUUGGGGUACAAAAAAAGGUUGGAGCUGCCAUUUUCCCAUUCUUCGUUUACCUCUCCUUCCUGCACUUCCCUCUAGCUACAGCUUCUUUCUUUUACCCUUGGUGUUGUCAUAUAUUGGCUCCUUAAAUCUAGGCAUUUAUAUCAGAAUUUUGAAACUUUGCUAUUUUGGAUUGAUUCUCUCAAAAUACUGCAAACAACAUAGCUCUCUCCAAACAUAUUGAGAUGCAUAGAAGAGGCCAAGCUCAUUGGUGAUGGUGGAGGGAGAGCACUUUCUCUUGCAUACAAGAUUUCUGAGAGCGAAAUGAUGGUGCCCUUUACAUUCGCAUGUCUAUUCAAAACAUGCUUCCCUUGAGUGACUCUUAUUGAUGUUAAUAGCAUUGAAUUUCAGGUUAAAACUAUAGCUCUAUUUUGUUUUCUGGGUCAUGACUCAAUUGCAGGUUUUACUAGAAAGUGUUUUUCUUUUUAGUUAGAAUAUGUUAGAUUUGCCAGCAUUGAAUUGAUUUGGUGACGUGGGGGAAUGGGCGUUUCUAUGGGCAGUGUCCUACAAAACAGUGAUACCCUAGUAAUCUCCCAAAGUCGAGCUGCCUGAUCCUUGCAUGGCAUUUUUAAUUGAAUGUAUUGGGUGGAUUUUGUGCUACUUCAGGAGAUUGCUACUUUGCUUUUGCUUUAUUCUAACUUUUUGAAAUUGUGCUUUUAUCUGCCUAUUAUCUCCCUCUUGUACAACUAGAUUUAACAAUUCAUAAAAAAGCCAUUGAAAGGAAGAGCAGAAGAACCAAUGGGGAGAAAUGAGAUCUGCCUUCAUAACAAUGUCUCCUGUCUCCUCAAGAGUAGGGGCAUUGGGAGGGAGAGCAGAAGAGCCUAUAGAAAGAAAUGGGAUCUACUUUAACUAGACUCACUAAUGAUAAAUCUGAAAAUGGAGAAAUGAUACAAUUUUUUUAAUGUAGUGAGAUGAAAGGUAAAGGUAAUAUUAUGUUUUCCCCACUCCUCAUGGGAUUAGGUCCUAGGCCAUUUUAAUCAGAUAAACUAAUAAUAGUAAAACUGAAGUCAGUUUUUUUUCAGUUUAAAACUUGAAUGAAGGGGGGCGGGGUAAAGGCCUAAAUUGUGUGGAUUCAUUGCUCAUUUGAUGUAGGUUGGAGGCAAUUUUCCAGUUUUGCUUGAAGAGAAGAAGAGAAACAGUUGCAUUUCAAGUUCAGGGGUAGUUUUGCAGAUGCUUGCCAUGUGCAUACUCUGCUGAUACAGAUUCUAUGCUGCAAAAAAAAAAUUCUGGAUAAUUUGAGUAUUUAUUUCAUGAACUCUUUUUUUUUUUUUUUUAAACAUUUUCAUGAAUAUAAAACUAAAUCAGAGCUCACAGUCCAGAGACCAUUUAUAAAUUCUAAUAAAUUCAUAUCCAAUUUAA